GGACCUCUAAUCGGGAAA
rnacentral:rRNA from 1 species